CGGUCGCCUGAGCUGUUUGAGGGGGCUCGCUAGCGCCCCCACCCUCCCCCGGCAACGGCGGAGCCCGGGUGGCCCGAAUCCGGCACUGCGACGGCCGGAUCCGGUGGCUGCGCGACCGAGCGGGUGCGAGAUGAGGCGGCGGACACGCCCCGGCCAGCUCUCUUGAGUGGGCGUCGCCCCGCGAUGACGAGGCCCGCAGGCCACAGAUCUGCAUUUUGGAUUAUGCGACACAGCUCCACUAAUGUUUCCCUUGACAAUUCUAUUCUUGCUAAAAUGACCAAUGGAGGGGUUCUUCUGCAGUAUGGAAUGCAAAGGCAAUAUCAUCAAUAUGAGUGAUCCAAGCAUAGCCAGCUGUUGUUUCAAUGAGAAUCAGGUAUCUGAGAAAAUGCCUUUGCACUCACUGCUCACAAAGCAAUGGCAGAUGUCCAAGUGGAGCGAAGUUGACGACCAUGGACAUGCUAUCUCAGUCUCACCAGGUGCAAAGCGAAUGAUGACCACUUGGCGGCCAGCCCUAUGGGCACUGCCAGUACCAGGUACGGAUUCGAUCUACCUUAUUAGCCAUGUGGUGGCCCUCCACUACUGAUAACAGGUAUGUGUUUCAAGUUGCUUAUGACAUGUUUGAUCAAUUGGCGGGCUACAUUCAUGAAGCCUAAAUCUGUUGCCUGGGUUCAUGGUGCCUUCCAGACAGUUUCCGCAGCAACACGGUGAGCAGCCAAUUUGCAGCCAGAUCUAUCCACAAUAUUUCCAUAUUCACCUAGAGAUUUUCUCAUAACUUCUGGUUAAUGUGGUUUUAAGGGACCAUUGGUUGAAUAUAUGUGAUCCAUCCAUAUGUUGUAGUGGAUAAAACGAGGGCAAGAUAAACUAGUUCGCCCUCCUUUGGAGGCUCUGAACUAUUUAGGGUUUAUAUUCUUGCUUGACCUCAACUGAUACAAGGGUGUCUCUUUUAUAGAGACGACUGACUUGACCCCUAAGCAAUAUCCUAACCAAAUCCCUCUAACUUAUCUCUUUCCUAACAAACCCAACUAAUCCUAUUCGCGGCACUGUUCACGCGGUACAGUACUGCGUGGGCUCUGGAUUGGCUCCGCUUGCCAUAACACUACUCCACCCUUCCAAGACAGCUCGUCCUCGAGCUGUGGUGGGUGGACAUGGCUGCAGAUGUGGAUGGAAAUUGUCGACGGUGAAGUUCUUGGCGAUGACGUCUGUGAGAAGGCCGGGCUCGAGCUGGAACGCCAAUGCAGAGAAAGUGCUUGGUGGAGCCACCAGUCACCACUGAGCUAGCGGCGAGUAGACCGUCGAGUAGACCGAGCAGGUCCAUGGCGCAGGUGACGGUGGCGGCAUUACCGUCAGGCCCCCCGGCGGAGAUGGGGCUAGUGCCGAUGGUGUGGGCGUCACCGGUACACGCGGAAAAGGCACAGACGGCUGCAGUCUAGGAGAAGACGCCGACAGCGCCACUGGUGUUGCUGGUGACUGCAGUGUAGGAGAAGGCGGCCGGCAGAACCACUGGCGUCGCCUGCGGGGAUGGAGUAGAUGGAGCCUGCAGGUUAGCAGACGGCAUCGAUGAUGCAGGAGUUGGCGGCGAAGCCAUGGAUGCAUCUAUCCCCACGGACAUCUCCUUUAUCAGCUGCACCAUGCGAUCCAACCUCUCAGAGAUUGAAUCAAGGGUGGUGUCCAUACGAUGAAGCGCGGCGAGGGCCAUGCCAGAUCGAACCGGAUUGAUGGGUGGGAUUGGGCAGGCCUUGGUGGUCGUAGGAACGGAAGAAGACGGUGGCGGCGGCGGAGGUGGUGGUAGGCGGCAGGAUCAAAAGGCUGAUACCAGAUGUUGUAGUGGAUAAAACGAGGGCAAGAUAAACCAGUUCGCCCUCCCUUGGAGGCUCUGAACUAUUUAGGGUUUAUAUUCUUGCUUGACCUCAACUGAUACAAGGGUGUCUCUUUUAUAGGGACGACUGACUUGACCCCUAAGCAAUAUCCUAACCAAAUCCCUCUAACUUAUCUCUUUCCUAACAAACCCAACUAAUCCUAUUCGCGGCACUGUUCACGCGGUACAGUACUGCGUGGGCCCUGGACCGGCUCCACUUGCCAUAACACCAUAAGAUGUAAGUUAAGGGAGCUCAUGAUGAGUUGAUGACUGCCGUGUUAGAAACAGCUCGCCCAGAGGUGACUAAUUGGGAUUGUUGUCUGCUUUGCAGGUCUGGCUCUUGAAAGUUGAUAGUGCCAUUCUUUGCAACAUGCUUUGCAACAUGCUGAGUUCAUAUUGCCAUUCUUCCAUGCAAAGAUAUUAUGUUGCUACAUAAACUUUCAAAUUAAUAUGUAAAAACAAAAAAACGCUAAAUUCAUAUUGGGCUGGUGGUUCUUUGAUUAUUUUCUUGUAGUAUUAAUAUGAUAUUAUGUUGUUUAGGUCCACAACAACAGUGGUGGUGACAAUGGAGAAGAUGGCAGCGGCGUUCAAGGAAGAGAAGUCCACGGACAGCACUGCAGGAAAUGGGUUCCAGUCUUCCAGAAAGUACAGAUUUCCGGUCGAUUCAUUGAAGUGAGGGGCUCAGGUUCUUUGGAUCAUUGGGGCAUAUGCAAUCCAUGACAUCAGUCUUGAGAGUUCUAAUGCUAGCCGAUGAGCUGCUUGUAGACGAUGCAGUCCUCCUAUGCAAAGUCUCUUUUGCCUGGUUACAAAGUCUCCUAGGCUUGAGUAAAAUCCUUGAAAAACACGCAUGGAAAUAGUCAAUUCUUCAUGCAACAAUGCCAACAAAGUUGCAUCAACUGUGAAGGUCUGUAAUGUGAAGUGCUCUCACAUCAGACUAGCUUUCCAUAUUUAUCUCUAUAAUCUUGGUCAAACUUGAGAUUGCUUUGACUCUCCAAGAUUCUUGGGAUGUCUUAUAAUUUGGAAUGGAGGGAGUAUAAUUAUUUAGAAAAAAGAAAGGCAAAGCUGGGAGGCUACUUGUGAACCUCUUUGGUCAAAGAUGGAAGCAUCAGAAAAUGCAUGUCUUAAGUCUGAAAUAGAAUCUGCCAAAGUUAAUGAAAUACAAUUUAGACUUGCUACCUUGAAGGAGGAGCGUCAGCAGGCAAGGCUGCAUGGCGAGGAGACCGAGUUUGGCCCGCAUGGGGGGUGCCCAAUGUGGGCAUCCAUGCUUCUGCGAUACUGCCUCGCGUGAUCAUCCGUGCUUCAGUGCAGAGCAGAUGGUGGACAGCAUCAACUACCUGGAAAUGGAAGAUGGAUCCUCUUAAUGGUGAAAAAUUUAUCAAAGUUGCUGAGGUUCAGGGAACUGAAAUGAAGAUGGAUGACUUCCUGGUGUGAUGCCUUGCGGAAUGUAUGGUGACUGAGGGGGCUGGGUGAAGAAGUAAGCGGACUUCGUCCUCGUCCUCUCUCCGUAGCAAGGAGCAUAAACUGGAACUGGUUUCGGACUGGUGAGUUCCCGCCUCCUCCAAGUCGUCGCCUCCGCCCUGCCAUUGAUCUGCCGUCCCCGACCGCGACGCUCAUCCACUGACCACUCGGCCAAGGUAGCUGCGGCUUGGGGCUCGCUGAGCAGGCACAUAGUGCCAAAUGCUGGUCUCGACAUAGCAGGCAGGCUACUCGAGCCCAUCACGGAGCAGUUCCCCAUCCUAUCCUACGUUGAUUUCUACCAGGUUCUGAGAAUGUAAGUGCGAGUGAAUUUAAACGGCAGAGGGGGAGAAUUAAGGCUGCAACCAUGACCGAUGAAUAGAGGAACAAAAGAAAAAAAAAAGUGGCGUGAGGCUUAGGAGGAUGUAUGAUGCACGUGUAUGAUGGCAGGAUUUUUAAUGUUAAAUAAUAUGACCAGGUUCGAUCGAGAUGUGGGCUUAACUUUAGGAACUCAGGAGUUUGGAUCGUGAUGAACACAUUCUCCAGGCGGCUUAGUUUAAUUCAUAGGGAACGCACAACUUAUAUUGGGAUGAAAUACAGCUAAUCCCUACCGAUAUAGGGGUAUUUCUACAUCAGUAUGAUAGCAUGAUAUAGAGUUAAGAGUUCUCAUAUAUAUGGCCCUGACAUUAUACAGCUGAAUAUGCUUAUAUUGCCUAUAACCCAGGCAGCUGACUUCUCUGAAAUUAAAUGAUCAGAAAAAUGGUGUCUUUUAUGUCUCUUAGA